CCUACGGGAGGCAGCAGUGAGGAAUAUUGGUCAAUGGACGCAAGUCUGAACCAGCCAAGUAGCGUGCAGGAUGACGGCCCUCCGGGUUGUAAACUGCUUUUAGUUGGGAAUAAAAGGGGGCUCGUGAGCCCCGUAUUGUAUGUACCAUCAGAAAAAGGACCGGCUAAUUCCGUGCCAGCAGCCGCGGUAAUACGGAAGGUCCGGGCGUUAUCCGGAUUUAUUGGGUUUAAAGGGAGCGUAGGCCGGCUUUUAAGUCAGCUGUGAAAGUCCGCGGCUCAACCGUGGAAUUGCAGUUGAAACUGGAGGCCUUGAGUGCACACAGGGAUGCCGGAAUUCAUGGUGUAGCGGUGAAAUGCUUAGAUAUCAAGAGGAAUACUCAUUGCGAAGGCGACCUGCUGGAACAUUACUGACGCUGAUGCACGAAAGCGUGGGGAGCAAACAGGAUUAGAUACCCUGGUAGUC
rnacentral:rRNA from 1 species